rnacentral:rRNA from 1 species
UACGAAGGGGGCUAGCGUUGCUCGGAAUCACUGGGCGUAAAGGGUGCGUAGGCGGGUCUUUAAGUCAGGGGUGAAAUCCUGGAGCUCAACUCCAGAACUGCCUUUGAUACUGAAGAUCUUGAGUUCGGGAGAGGUGAGUGGAACUGCGAGUGUAGAGGUGAAAUUCGUAGAUAUUCGCAAGAACACCAGUGGCGAAGGCGACUCGCUGGAUCUUUGCUGACGCUGAGACGCGAAAGCGUGGGUAGCAAACAGG